GACGAACGCUGGCGGCGUGCUUAACACAUGCAAGUCGAGCGGUAAGGCCCUUUCGGGGGUACACGAGCGGCGAACGGGUGAGUAACACGUGGGUGACCUGCCCUCAGCUCUGGGAUAAGCCUGGGAAACCGGGUCUAAUACUGGAUAUGACUCCAUGACGCAUGUUGUGGGGUGGAAAGCCUUGUGCGGCUGAGGAUGGGCCCGCGGCCUAUCAGCUUGUUGGUGGGGUNANGGCCUACCAAGGCGACGACGGGUAGCCGGCCUGAGAGGGCGACCGGCCACACUGGGACUGAGACACGGCCCAGACUCCUACGGGAGGCAGCAGUGGGGAAUCUUGCGCAAUGGGCGAAAGCCUGACGCAGCGACGCCGCGUGAGGGAUGACGGCCUGG
rnacentral:rRNA from 1 species